rnacentral:rRNA from 1 species
GAUGAACGCUGGCGGCGUGCCUAAUACAUGCGAGUCGAGCGAACAGACGAGGAGCUUGCUCCUCUGACGUUAGCGGCGGACGGGUGAGUAACACGUGGAUAACCUACCUAUAAGACUGGGAUAACUUCGGGAGACCGGAGCUAAUACCGGAUAAUAUAUUGAACCGCAUGGUUCAAUAGUGAAAGACGGUUUUGCUGUCACUUAUAGAUGGAUCCGCGCCGCAUUAGCUAGUUGGUAAGGUAACGGCUUACCAAGGCAACGAUGCGUAGCCGACCUGAGAGGGUGAUCGGCCACACUGGAACUGAGACACGGUCCAGACUCCUACGGGAGGCAGCAGUAGGGAAUCUUCCGCAAUGGGCGAAAGCUUGACGGAGCAACGCCGCGUGAGUGAUGAAGGUCUUCGGAUCGUAAAACUCUGUUAUUAGGGAAGAACAAAUGUGUAAGUAACUAUGCACGUCUUGACGGUACCUAAUCAGAAAGCCACGGCUAACUACGUG